ACAGUCUGGUUAAAUUAAUUUUAGAGAUUUUGCACCUGAUGUGGCUGAAAUAUUUAACACCUCCCCCACCAUUGUCACUUUCAGAAUCGGGCCCACAAAUACUUGAGGUAGAUUAGACAAGACUCAAACCUAAACAGCUCAUUUCAAUGGCCACUGGCUACCGUGAGAGCAAUUUAUGGCUAGAUUGGCUCAUCCAAAAUGCUAGAGAACAGAAUGUUUAAGAUUGUGUGGCGUGCGCAGCUGCCCGCCCACAUCUUUUCACAGAACCAGCUCCUUUAUAUCCCGAAGACCAGUGGGGAUUUGAGUGCAUGCUCAGACUCACCAGAGAAGCGGCUUCUGAAGACAUGAGCAUGAGGCCGGGGAGAUUGAUGCCGAUUGGUGGACUGUGACGUACCUGGCCAGAGGAAAGGGAUCAAAAGACACCGGCACCGAAAUAGGCCUGUGGGCACGUGCUGGUUUGUAGUAUUAUUAUGGUGGGUAUAGAUUGUAUGUUAGAAUUCCUAGUGGGACUUCUGGUCUCUGUGCCAUGGUACGUAUAGGUGCACCUCUCGUUUUAGUAGGAGAAAAGGGGGUGCGGCUGGCUAAGCCCGGCACCGCUCAACUGACAGCCACAUGCAGACGUCAUGUGUUGGCCAAACAGUCACCAGGAUCAUUUGACCUUACAAUAGGAUCACCAACAUACAGAGAUGCUAUUGGGGUUCCUAGGGGUGUGCCUAAAUGAAUUUAAGGUAGCCGACCAAAUUGCUGGAGGAUUUGAAAUUGUCCAAUGAUUUCUGCAUUCUUUCCAGUAACUCCAAAUAAGAAGGUGGAUCGUAUUAAUUAUGUGCAUUAUAAUGUCCUGAGACUGGCGAACUUUACCAGGGACGCAGUUGAAGGACUUGCUGAAUAGUUGGGUCCAACAUCUUUAAUGGCAGUACAAAUUUAAAAUAAUGUACUUUUAUUUUAAAUAACACAGCUCCAGGCAGCUCUGUGAGCUGAACUCUGGAAGGCCUAAGGACGUUGUCCACCACAAUGUAUGAGCAUUCGGGAGUGGAUAACCUGCUGGAAGUGUGGAGGAUAUCUGUCUUUGGGCAAUGGAAAGGUUUCCUUAUGUCAAUUAUGGUUUCUUUGUCUGUUUUUAUUGCAAUAUUAGUGACAUGUGGGUGUUGUUGUGUGCCUUGUAUCAGAGCUUUGUUCGUAAGACUCAUCAAUCGUGCUGUGGGAGAAUCUGAUACAAAGUC